UACGGAGGGGGCUAGCGUUGUUCGGAAUUACUGGGCGUAAAGCGCACGUAGGCGGCGAUUUAAGUCAGAGGUGAAAGCCCGGGGCUCAACCCCGGAACUGCCUUUGAGACUGGAUUGCUUGAAUCCGGGAGAGGUGAGUGGAAUUCCGAGUGUAGAGGUGAAAUUCGUAGAUAUUCGGAAGAACACCAGUGGCGAAGGCGGCUCACUGGACCGGCAUUGACGCUGAGGUGCGAAAGCGUGGGGAGCAAACAGGAUUAGAAACCCCGGGUAGUCC
rnacentral:rRNA from 1 species